AACCAUAAAUCUUACAUACACUGAUUUGACAAGACGAGCAUAUGGAACCAACUAUGUUGAAACUUUGAGAGUUCAGGUUCAUGCCAAUUGCCGCUUGAGAAGAAUUUAUUUCUCUGACCGGCUGUAUUCCGAGGAAGAACUCCCACCAGAAUUCAAGUUGUACCUUCCGAUGCAGAAAGCCUGACAUGCUAUUCAGAGGGUCAUUGGUGCUUGACAAUAGGUUGGACAAAUGCUUCAUGCUUCCACUGCGCAUUCUGCUUGUACAAGUUUUAGAAGUUGUGUGUGAUGAGUUCAUCGGGAGCUUAGGUAUUAAUACAACACGUUUAGUGUUAGUGCUAUGAUGCUGGUCUUUUAUGUUCCAGUUGCUGUUGGAUGGACUUUGAAAUAGAUGGUAAGGAUUUGAACUUGCUGCUGUUAUAUAUGUAAUGCUAUGACUUCAUGAA